rnacentral:rRNA from 1 species
AUGAAUAUUCAUGAUACUAAUGAUGAUUGCACUAGUCAUGAUAAAGAAGUUUCUUAUAAGCAUGUCAAUUUUUGUGGAGUGAAUAGAGUUAGUGAAGACAUGCCUUAUAGGGAUGAUAGAUUUUGUAAGAAGCAUAAACAUGAUGAAACCAAUCGAUGGCUUAAGGUGAUAACUAAAUUUUCUACAAAAUUAUGCUCUCUUCAUCCCCUUAUUUGUGAACUUUGCAAUAGAGUUGAUCAUCUUAAUUUCCAAUGCACACUUUUUCAUGAUCGAAUCGUGCCUAAAAUAGCAAUAACUUGA